CCACUGUAACGUUAGUGGUUACAGUGGGUAGAUAGAAAAUUAAAAUGAAAAAAAUAUUUUAGUUAUAGAUUUUAUAUUCAGGUUAGGUAGGUAGGUAGGUAGUUGUCGGUUGAGCCGGGAGUGAGUCCGAAUAUCGAGCGUAACGAAUUCUAGUUCGCCGUUAGAACACCACUAUCCUGUCAGUAGCCGGUAGAGAGGGUAGGUCGCUCGCAGCUCCGCAGUAGUCCAGCCGUCGGUGAUGCAGGGUAGGCCCGCUGUCUUCGACGUGAAGGUCGCGAAGGUCACGAGGUCCAGCAGACUCGGAUAGUAGUGAAGAUGGAAGGUAGUCGGUUGAGUGGGUAGAUGUAGGUAGAUGCAGAAACCGGAGCUUGUAGGUAGGUGUUGAAAGGUAGCUGCUGGAAGGUAGCUGAUGGAAACCGGAGCUUGUAGGUAGGUGUUGAAAGGUAGCUGCUGGAAGGUAGCUGAUGGAACCCUGGAAUUCGGUAAUUGUCCGUCUUAGAAGGUGUCCGAAUCCUUGCCUUGACUGCAACAUCCCGAUCCCACUAACACGGUCUACCAAAAGGGAAGCAGCGUUCCAGCAUUAAGCAGCUAUCGAGAUGAGGCAGUCCAGGCAGCGUGGUACAAUAGCAAAAGAAGUUACUUUGAUGAUUUGCAGAAUUAAUUAAAUUGAAUUAACAAAAAUUAAAAGUAUUAAAAUAAUUAAAACAUGUAGGUAGAUACAUAUUAUACUACGGGUAGAAAUUAAAAAUUAUUAGAACAAAGAAAAAUGUAUGACCUAAGUCAACCGUCAAUUUAGAUUAACGGGAUAUUUAGAUAUUUAGAUGACAAUAUAGCAAUUAGGUACUAUAUUAGCCCUUUAAACACAUAACAACACAAAACAUUACUAAAUUACUUUUAAACAUAAACUACUGGUAUAAAACAUUAUUAGACACAUCUAUGAACAAAGAACAAUGGAAAAUAGCAAAUCAUGCAGCGAUUAGGUAGCUAAUAAGCAGUAAGGAUUUGUUUUGCAACACUCACCCGAUCUGGGGUUAACACUGAAUUUAAUAGUAAUAAGCACUUGGUAGAAAUUGAGGUACGGAUAAUUGUUUGAUUUUAUAAUUUAAAUUAAUUAAAAUAAUUGUAAUUCGCGACACUGUUGCGGUAGGUGACUUUCUUCUGUCGCGGUUGCGUGGUAGUUCGGGAUGAUUCUAGUCGGUUGCCUAAUAUAGCUUCUCGCCGGCGCCAGGGAAUACUAAGUACUAGCGCGGCGAGUCGCAGUCUAGGUGGAGGGGAUCGUGCCGAACCGGCUACCGUGGCGCGGUAAGUAGCUAUCGCAGCGCGCGGCGCGCGGGUAUUCAGGUAUUUUUUGUAAUGAUUAGUUUUUUUCUCUCUGUUUAGGUAGGGUAGGUGUGAAAUUUAUUAUUUCUUUGUU